UACAGAGGUCCCAAGCGUUGUUCGGAUUCACUGGGCGUAAAGGGUGCGUAGGCGGUCGGGUAAGUCUGAUGUGAAAUCUCACAGCUUAACUGUGAAACUGCAUUGGAUACUAUUCGACUAGAGAGUUGGAGGGGGGACUGGAAUUCUUGGUGUAGCAGUGAAAUGCGUAGAUAUCAAGAGGAACACCAGUGGCGAAGGCGAGUCCCUGGACAACUUCUGACGCUGAGGCACGAAAGCUAGGGGAGCAAACAGG
rnacentral:rRNA from 1 species